rnacentral:rRNA from 1 species
CCUACGGGCGGCAGCAGUGAGGAAUAUUGGUCAAUGGCCGGAAGGCUGAACCAGCCAAGUCGCGUGAGGGAUGACUGCCCUAUGGGUUGUAAACUUCUUUUAUAAGGGAAUAAUGUAUGCUACGUGUGGCUUGUUGCAUGUACUUUAUGAAUAAGCAUCGGCUAACUCCGUGCCAGCAGCCGCGGUAAUACGGAGGAGGCGAGCGUUGUCCGGAUUUAUUGGGGUUAAAGGGGGCGUGGGGGGUGCUUUAAGUUAGUGGUUAAAAGUCGGGGCUACACCUUGAUUUGCCAUUUAUACUGGGAGACUUGAGGGCAGGCGAGGAAGGUGGAAUACGUAGAGUAGCGGUGAAAUGCGUAGAUAUUAGGAAGAACACCAGUAGCGAAGGCGACUUUCCAGACUGCAACUGACGCUGAGGCGCGAGAGCGUGGGUAGCGAACGGGAUUAGAUACCCGUGUAGUC